AUUGAACGCUGGCGGCAAGCCUAACACAUGCAAGUCGAGCGGCAACGUGAAUCUUCAUUGAUUUUGACGGCGAGCGGCAAACGGGUGAGUAAUAUCUGGGGAUCUACCUAGAUGAGGGGGACAACCAUUGGAAACGGUGGCUAAUACCGCAUAAUGUUGAGAAACCAAAGUAGGGGAUUUCUUUUUAAGAAACCUUACGCAUCUAGAUGAACCCAGACGAGAUUAGCUUGAUGGUAGGGUAAUGGCUUACCAAGGCAACGAUCUCUAGCUGGUCUGAGAGGACGGUCAGCCACACUGGAACUGAGACACGGUCCAGACUCCUACGGGAGGCAGCAGUGGGGAAUAUUGCACAAUGGGCGAAAGCCUGAUGCAGCUAUGCCGCGUGUAUGAAGAAGGCCUUAGGGUUGUAAAGUACUUUCAGCAGGGAAGAAGCUAUAAAUAGCUAAUAUCUUUUAUAGUUGACGUUACCUGAAAAAGAAGCACCGGCUAACUCCGUGCCAGCCGCCGCAGUAAAAC
rnacentral:rRNA from 1 species